rnacentral:misc_RNA from 1 species
GAUGAAGAACGUAGCGAAAUGCGAAAAGUAGUGUGAAUUGCAGAAUUCAGUGAAUCAUCGAAUCUUUGAACGCACAUUGCGCCCCUUGGUAUUCCAUGGGGCAUGCCUGUUCGAGCGUCAUUUGUACCUUCAAGCUCUGCUUGGUGUUGGGUGUUUGUCCCGCUUUUUGCGUGGACUCGCCUCAAAGCAAUUGGCAGCCGGCGUACUAGCCUGGGAGCGCAGCACAUUUUGCGCAUCUCGACUGGAACGCUUGCGUCCAUUAAGCCUACACUUUUGCUCUUGACCUCGGAUCAGGUAGGGAUACCCGCUGAACUUAAGCAUAUCAAUACGGAGGA